GUGUUCCAGUCAUUUUCUCUGGCUGUCAAGGACAAAAUAUUCAGAAAUAACCAUCUUGCCAGGAUCAAUGAUACCAAACUAUGACCCACAUCCAUUCAUCUCUUUGUCAGAUAAACAAUGAAGGCCAUGGUCAAUGUGGCUUGAUCAUUGCUAUUUAUUAAGCCUCUGAAGAUUCUGUAUCUUACUUUCCUAUUGCUGGUGUGUAACUUGUUUCGUGCAAAGUCACUAAUUCUUUGCUUGUUCACAUUAACAGCCAAGUAGAAUAAAGUUUAUUCCACA